rnacentral:lncRNA from 1 species
CCGUGCCAAGCACUUUGCAUGAAUUUCCUCCUCUGAUCCUCACGAUGAUCCCAAGGGGGAAGAUACAAUCAGUAUCCUUCAAGUCAAGCCACCUGUCUGGCUUGUCCUUCCUAGGAGACCUCUUCGCAGAAAAGUGGGAGAAUAUUGGACCUUCACAGGAGGUGCCUGGGAAGGUCUGGUCCUCGCUUUCCCACGGUGCGCGAAGCCAGCUGUGGAGAAGAGCCGGGCUCCGGUCAUGGCUGUCCUCGUCCCACUCAGGCAGCCCCAGCCCUCCCCAGGGCAUUUUGAAUUCUCGUCACCUUUUCUAUUUUCUGUUUUUCUCCCACAACAUUAUUUUAGGGCUUCUGCUAUGCUAACACAUGUUUUGGGGACAGUGGGGGAUUCCCCCAAACCAUGAUGCUGUUCAGUUCAAAAACAUUUGCCUGAAGGUCCACAGCUGGGUGACUCACACUGCUGAGGGGGUAAGAAAACUCACAGCUGCAGCGGGGAGAGGCUGGCCCAACCAAAGGGGGGACCCUUACAGGGUGGCCGGUUUGAGUAAAUAAAAAUACAGGAAGUCCAGCUAAUUUUGAAUUUCAGACGAACAACUCCACUUGGAACAUCUGGAAGCUUCAAGUUUAUCUGUUAGCCAGGUGUGGUGGCACACGCCUGAACUCCCAGCUACUGGGGAGGCUUCAACAGGAG